rnacentral:rRNA from 1 species
CCCUUAGAUGUCCUGGGCUGCACGCGCGCUACACUGAUGUGUCCAGUAAGCACCUAACCUAUUCCGAGAGGUGCGGGUAACCUUAGCAAAGCACAUCGUGAUGGGGAUAGAUUAUUGCAAUUAUUAGUCUUGAACGAGGAAUUCCUAGUAAGCACAAGUCAUCAGCUUGUGUUGAUUACGUCCCUGCCCUUUGUACACACCGCCCGUCGCUCCUACCGAUUGAAUGUUCCGGUGAGCUCUUCGGACUGCGCGGUCUGCAGUUUCUGCGUUCCGUGCGGAAAGUUGUGCAAACCUUAACAUUUAGAGGAAGGAGAAGUCGUAACA